AAAAUUUUAGGCUCAUAUUUCGUGCCGGGCCGGCCCAUGGACACCUCUAGAAGGUAUGCAAGAAUACGGAUGAAGAGAGCAAAAGAGAUGGCGGAUAGAAUUCAUGAAAUUACUCAAAUUAGGGAUGAAAUUGGGGGAAAGCGAGAAGGUUGAGUUGAGGAGAGGAGAGGAGAGAAAAAAACUGAUUUAAUGUUACAUGAAAAAAUAAUCUUAUAA
rnacentral:lncRNA from 1 species